GCCCUUACUGCUCAGUAACACGUAGUCAAUCUACCGUAAAGAGGCGGAUACCCUUUGGAAACGAAGGAUAAACCGCCAUAUGCCUGGGGAUCUGGAAGGACUCCUGGUAAAAAAGAGGCGUAAAUUGUAGCGUUUUCGCUUUACGAUGAGACUGCGGCGGAUCAAGCAGAUGGCGGGGUAACGGCCCACCAUACUUAUAACCCGUAGGGGAUGUGGGAGCAAGAGCCCCGAGAAGGGCACUGAGACAAGGGCCCUAGCGCUACGGCGUGCAGCAGUUGCGCAAACUCCACAAUGCGCGUAAGCGUGAUGGGGGGAAUCUGAGUGGUUCACAUUUGUGAACCUUUUGCCAAGUAUAGCAAGCUUGGCGAAUAAGUGCUGGGCAAGAUCCGGUGGCAGCCGCCACGGUAAUACCGGCAGCACAAGUGGUGUCCACGAUUAUUGGGCUUAAAGCGCUCGUAGCCUGCUCGUGCCGUCUCACGUGAAAUAUUGGCGCUCAACGUCAAUGCGUGCGUGAGAUACCCACGAGCUAGGAAGCGGAGUGAGGUAAGGAGUAUUCAUUGGGAAGGGGUCAAAUCCUAUAAUCCUUUGAGGACUAUCUGCGGCGAAGGCGCCUUACCAGAACGCAUUCGACGGUGAGGAGCGAAGGCUAGGAGAACGAAUCGGAUUCGAUACCCGAGUAGCCCUAGCAGUAAAUUAUGCAGACUUGCGUUGCGAAUGUCUUGAACGUUCGCAGUAUCGUAGCGAAAGUGUUAAGUCUGCCGCCUGGGGAGUACGAUCGCAAGAUCAAAACUUAAAGGAAUUGGCGGGGGAGCACAAGGGC
rnacentral:rRNA from 1 species